rnacentral:rRNA from 1 species
UGACGAGUUUGAUCCUGGCUCAGAUUGAACGCUGGCGGCAUGCCUUACACAUGCAAGUCGAACGGCAGCACGGGUGCUUGCACCUGGUGCGAGUGGCGGAACGGGUGAGUAAUACAUCGGAACGUACCUUAUCGUGGGGGAUAACGCAGCGAAAGUUGCGCUAAUACCGCAUACGCCCUGAGGGGGAAAGCGGGGGACCGUAAGGCCUCGCGCGAUUAGAGCGGCCGAUGUCUGAUUAGCUUGUUGGUGAGGUAAAAGCUCACCAAGGCGAUGAUCAGUAGCUGGUCUGAGAGGACGAUCAGCCACACUGGGACUGAGACACGGCCCAGACUCCUACGGGGAGGCAGCAGUGGGGGAAUUUUGGAC